GACAGAGGGUGCAAACGUUGUUCGGAAUUACUGGGCGUAAAGCGAGUGUAGGCGGUCCGAUAAGUCGGGUGUGAAAGCCCUGGGCUCAACCCAGGAAGUGCACUCGAAACUGCCGGGCUAGAGUAUCGGAGAGGUUGGUGGAAUUCUCGGUGUAGAGGUGAAAUUCGUAGAUAUCGAGAGGAACACCGGUGGCGAAGGCGGCCAACUGGACAUGUAUUGACGCUGAGGUGCGAAAGCGUGGGGAGCAAACAGG
rnacentral:rRNA from 1 species